AUGGAACACCCAACAAAGAUAAGGCC
rnacentral:piRNA from 1 species